AAUCAUUAAAUGACACGUGGAUCUUUAGAAACAAGUACUCUUAUUGAAAAAUAGAAAUUAAAACUUCUUCUUCCAAUAGCAGUUGGCUGGAUCGCUGCCAACGAGGCUAUCCCAAAACCAACAUGAACCCCCCUUGAGUUAAUCCUAGCGCUACAUCAACAUUUCUCCAUCAAAUGCUCAAAUCCAAACAUUAUGAAAUUCCUUUAUUUCAGCCAAGAUCUUAAGCGCCGCACAAGCUCCCUAGCCACAGACCAAUAUCUCCUUUUAUCGCCUCAAAUUCUUUUGAUGUGCUUUGAAGUCAACAAUGGCGGAAGAAAGAGCCAUCCAUGUUUGAGUGUGGAAAUUAAUGUUUCCUACAUCUUCAAUCUUUUGUGGCCUUUUACAUAGAGGAUUUUCUAUGAUUUUUAGUUUGAAAUUCAAGCAUAUGAGAAUAUUGUGAAAUUCUUAAGCACGCUCUUUCUCCUUUAUGUUAUUCACCAGCUGCAGAAAUUACAUGUCCUUCCACUUUUGCUUCGAUUAAAGGGGAAGUGGGUGAAAAAGAAUGAAAAAUUUUCCCCAGUCGAGAUCUAACGAUGGAGGUCCUACUCGAUUUGUAAUCUUCUUGAUUGGUAGGAUAACAAAUGGUAAUUUAAGGUGAGGUUUUCGUGUAUUUGUGUAAUAAUGGUGGUUUGAGUUAGAGGUGAGUGGAGAAGAUUUGAAGAAGAAGGUGAUUUAGGGUAGCUCCACAUAGUUUUUAGGAGAAAAAAAGAUAAAUCUAAUUUUAGGUAGGCAACUCGCGUCUUGGAGAGUGCAUAUCACGUAAUGAGGACUAUCAUUGAGUUAGGUACUUAAUUGAUUUUUUUUUUGC
rnacentral:lncRNA from 1 species